UUCUGGUUGAUCCUGCCGGACCUGACUACUAUCGGAUUGAUACUAAGCCAUGCGAGUCUUUGUAGUAAUACAAGGCAGACGGCUCAGUAACACGUAGUCAACCUACCCUAUGGACGAGAAUAAUCUCGGGAAACUGAGCAUAAUUCUUGAUAGAUCAUAAUGCCUGGAAUGGUUUAUGGUUAAAAUGAUUCGUCGCCAUAGGAUGGGACUGCGGCCUAUCAGCUUGUUGGUGAGGUAAUGGCCCACCAAGGCGAUUACAGGUACGGGCUCUGAGAGGAGAAGCCCGGAGAUGGGUACUGAGACACGGACCCAGGCCCUAUGGGGCGCAGCAGGCGAGAAAACUUUGCAAUGUGCGAAAGCACGACAAGGUUAAUCCGAGUGAUUUCUGCUAAAGAAAUCUUUUGCCAGUCGUAAAACCGCUGGUGAAUAAGGGGUGGGCAAGUUCUGGUGCCAGCAGCCGCGGUAAU
rnacentral:rRNA from 1 species